UACGAAGGGGGCUAGCGUUGUUCGGAAUCACUGGGCGUAAAGGGUGCGUAGGCGGGUUUUUAAGUCAGGGGUGAAAUCCUGGAGCUCAACUCCAGAACUGCCUUUGAUACUGGCGAUCUUGAGUCCGGGAGAGGUGAGUGGAACUGCGAGUGUAGAGGUGAAAUUCGUAGAUAUUCGCAAGAACACCAGUGGCGAAGGCGGCUCACUGGACCGGUACUGACGCUGAGGUGCGAAAGCGUGGGGAGCAAACAGG
rnacentral:rRNA from 1 species